GCCACGGUCCUUAGAAGGUGCCAGGCCUGUGGGAUGGUUGCGGCUUCCGGGAAGGCCUCUCCUUUGAGUCGGGUUGCUUGAGAGUGCAGCCCUAAGCAGGUGGUAAACUCCAUCUAAGGCUAAAUACAACCACGAGACCGAUAGCAAACAAGUACCGUGAGGGAAAGUUGAAAAGAACUUUGAAGAGAGAGUUCAAGAGUACGUGAAACCGUUCGGGGGUAAACGGGUGGAGCCCUAAAGGUCGAAAGAGGAGAUUCAGUAUCCCGUCCGCAUUGCCGCUCUUCGUCGUCGGGUAAAACUCGGGGGCCGCUCCUUGUGGGCGCGCCCUCGGGCCCGCGGCGGAGUCUCGCGCGCAGGCGGGGGAGCGCACUUCUCCUCGAGUAGGACGCCGCGACCCGCUGGGUGUCGGUCGAAGGCCCGGGUGCGAGCCCGUUUCCGCGGCUUUUGCCGCGGGGCGGAGCCCCGGUGUCCCGGCCGACUGCCCGGCGGUCGAACGUGCGGAAAAGGCCCGCGUGCUUCUCGAAGCUCGCGCUCGUGCCCCGUGCAAGCGUCGCGCCGAACCCGUCGUACGGACUCGUCCGUCGCGGGCCGGCCGGCGCUGUUGGCGCGGGGAUUUCUUGAGCAGUGGCCUGCUCMUGUUUGCGGCGCUCAAAACUGGGCGKCCCACCCGGCCCGUCUUGAAACACGGACCAAGCGAGUCUAACAUGUGCGCGAGUCAUUGGGUACCACUACACCCAAGGGCGUAUUGAACGAAAAGGCCGGCCCUCGCGCCGGCUGAGGGAAGAUGGGGGCUCGCUCGCGGGCCCCCCGCAUUCCCGGGGCGUCUCGUCCUACCUCCGCUCGUCGGUCGAAGGUGAGGCGCACCAAGAGCGCACACGUUGGGACCCGAAAGAUGGUGAACUAUGCCUGGCCAGGACGAAGUCAGGGGAAACCCUGAUGGAGGUCCGUAGCGAUUCUGACGUGCAAAUCGAUCGUCGGAGCUGGGUAUAGGGGCGAAAGACUAAUCGAACCAUCUAGUAGCUGGUUCCCUCCGAAGUUUCCCUCAGGAUAGCUGGCGCUCGUUGAACCGAGUCCCAUCCGGUAAAGCGAAUGAUUAGAGGCCUUGGGGUCGAAACGACCUCAACCUAUUCUCAAACUUUAAAUGGGUGGGAACCGCGGCUUGUUUGAACGUAAAGCCGCGGACCACGGAUCGGAGUGCCCAGUGGGCCACUUUUGGUAAGCAGAACUGGCGCUGUGGGAUGAACCAAACGCCGGGUUAAGGCGCCCGAAUCGACGCUCAUUCGAAACCAUGAAAGGUGUUGGUUGCUUAAGACAGCAGGACGGUGGCCAUGGAAGUCGGAAUCCGCUAAGGAGUGUGUAACAACUCACCUGCCGAAGCAACUAGCCCUGAAAAUGGAUGGCGCUGAAGCGUCGUGCCUAUACCCGGCCGCCGGCGGCAGAAGGCGACCGCCCUCGGGCGGUCGCUGCGAAGCCCCGGUGAGUAGGAGGGUCGCGACGGUGAGCGCAGAAGGGUCUGGGCGCGAGCCUGCCUGGAGCCGCCGUCGGUGCAGAUCUUGGUGGUAGUAGCAAAUACUCCAGCGAGGCCCUGGAGGACUGAUGUGGAGAAGGGUUCCGUGUGAACAGCCGUUGCACACGGGUCAGUCGAUCCUAAGCCCUAGGAGAAAUCCGAUGUUGAUGGUCGCGGGAUGUUCCUGCUACGCCUUGCGCCUCGCGAAAUCGAGUAGCUGAGCCCUAGAGGGUUGUUACGCGGAGAUGCUUGUCUCUCUAACGCUGCGGCGGUCUCGAGCCAUUAAAAAUUUGGACUCGUCGCGCAUCGCGCUCUCGUUGUCAUUUCUGCCGCCGUGCGCCGCGGACGUUAAAUCAGCCGACCGACACAACAGUGCCGGAGCGAACGUCGUGGCGACGGUGGAGAGGGAGGCGAGAGGCGGUGGCGCGUGCGUGGUCUUGGCGUCGUGACGCGCUUAGCGGCGUCGAAGGGAGCGCUCUUCGGUAGGCCCUCGCGGUCCUCGCGAAAGGAGAAUAGCGGCGCAAUCUCGCGAGCGAACUAGCACCCCGUCCGUCGGGCGAAAGGGAAUCUGGUUCCUAUUCCAGAACCCGGUUGCGGAACCGCACUCACGAUCCUCGUAUUGACACGGUAACGUGAAAGACCCCAGAGAAGCCGUCUGGAGCCCCGGGAAGAGUUUUCUUUUCUGCCUGAGCGUUCGGGUUCCAUGGAAUCCUCUCGCAGGGAGAUAUGGAAUGGAACGCGAAGAGCACCGCAGUUGCUGCGGUGUCCGGGGAGUCCCGUCGGUCCUGA
rnacentral:rRNA from 1 species